rnacentral:rRNA from 1 species
AGUGAACGCUGGCGGUAGACCUAACACAUGCAAGUCGAACGGCAGCACAGUAAGAGCUUGCUCUUACGGGUGGCGAGUGGCGGACGGGUGAGGAAUACAUCGGAAUCUACUUUUUCGUGGGGGAUAACGUAGGGAAACUUACGCUAAUACCGCAUACGACCUACGGGUGAAAGCAGGGGAUCUUCGGACCUUGCGCGAUUGAAUGAGCCGAUGUCGGAUUAGCUAGUUGGCGGGGUAAAGGCCCACCAAGGCGACGAUCCGUAGCUGGUCUGAGAGGAUGAUCUGCCACACUGGAGCUGAGACGCGGUCCAGACUCCUACGGGAGGCAGCAGUGGGGAAUAUUGGACAAUGGGCGCAAGACUGAUCCAGCCAUACCGCGUGGGUGAAGAAGGCCUUCGGGUUGUAAAGCCCUUUUGUUGGGAAAGAAAAGCAGCAGGUUAAUACCCCGCUGUUCUGACGGUACCCAAAGAAUAAGCACCGGCUAACUUCGUG